UACAGAGGGCUCAAGCGUUGUUCGGAUUCAUUGGGCGUAAAGGGUGCGUAGGUGGCGGGGUAAGUCAGGUGUGAAAUCUCGGGGCUUAACCCCGAAACUGCACUUGAUACUGCCUUGCUCGAGUACUGGAGAGGAGAUUGGAAUUUACGGUGUAGCAGUGAAAUGCGUAGAUAUCGUAAGGAAGACCAGGGGCGAAGGCGAAUCUCUGGACAGUUACUGACACUGAGGCACGAAGGCCAGGGGAGCAAACAGG
rnacentral:rRNA from 1 species